rnacentral:rRNA from 1 species
UUAUACGACCGUACCGCAAACCGACACUGGUGCGCGAGAUGAGUAUUCUAAGGCGCUUGAGAGAACUCAGGAGAAGGAACUCGGCAAAUUGACACCGUAACUUCGGAAGAAGGUGUGCCCUAUUAGUGUGUAGUGAACAACGAAGCAUGAAUGGGUUGCAAAAAAUCGGUGGCUGCGACUGUUUAUUAAAAACACAGCACUCUGCAAACACGAAAGUGGACGUAUAGGGUGUGACGCCUGCCCGGUGCUGGAAGAUUAAAUGAUGGGGUGCAAGCUCUUGAUUGAAGUCCCAGUAAACGGCGGCCGUAACAAUAACGGUCCUAAGGUAGCGAAAUUCCUUGUCGGGUAAGUUCCGACCUGCACGAAUGGCGUAACGAUGGCCACACUGUCUCCUCCUGAGACUCAGCGAAGUUGAAAUGUUUGUGAUGAUGCAAUCUCCCCGCGGAAAGACGGAAAGACCCCAUGAACCUUUACUGUAGCUUUGUAUUGGACUUUGAACAGAUCUGUGUAGGAUAGGUGGGAGGCUUUGAAGCAGGGUCGCUAGAUCUUGUGGAGCCAACGUUGAAAUACCACCCUGGUGUGUUUGAGGUUCUAACCUAGGUCCAUUAUCUGGAUCGGGGACAGUGCAUGGUAGGCAGUUUGACUGGGGCGGUCUCCUCCCAAAGCGUAACGGAGGAGUUCGAAGGUACGCUAGUUACGGUCGGACAUCGUGACGAUAGUGCAAUGGCAUAAGCGUGCUUAACUGCGAGACUGACAAGUCGAGCAGAUGCGAAAGCAGGACAUAGUGAUCCGGUGGUUCUGUAUGGAAGGGCCAUCGCUCAACGGAUGAAAGGUACUCUGGGGAAAACAGGCUGAUACCGCCCAAGAGUUCAUAUCGACGGCGGUGUUUGGCACCUCGAUGUCGGCUCAUCUCAUCCUGGGGCUGUAGCCGGUCCCAAGGGUAUGGCUGUUCGCCAUUUAAAGAGGUACGUGAGCUGGGUUUAAAACGUCGUGAGACAGUUUGGUCCCUAUCUUCCGUGGGCGCUGCAGAUUUGAGGAAGCCUGCUCCUAGUAUGAGAGGACCGGAGUGGACACACCUCUGGUGUAUCGGUUGUCACGCCAGUGGCAUUGCCGAGUAGCUAAGUGUGGAAGAGAUAACCGCUGAAAGCAUCUAAGCGGGAAACUCGUUUCAAGAUGAGAUCUGCCGGGGCCUUGAGCCCCCUAAAGAGUCGUUCAAGACCAGGACGUUGAUAGGUCAGGUGUGGAAGC